rnacentral:rRNA from 1 species
GAUGAACGCUGGCGGCGUGCCUAAUACAUGCAAGUCGAGCGAACGGACGAGAAGCUUGCUUCUCUGAUGUUAGCGGCGGACGGGUGAGUAACACGUGGAUAACCUACCUAUAAGACUGGGAUAACUUCGGGAAACCGGAGCUAAUACCGGAUGAUAUUUUGAACCGCAUGGUUCAAAAGUGAAAGACGGUCUUGCUGUCACUUAUAGAUGGAUCCGCGCUGCAUUAGCUAGUUGGUAAGGUAACGGCUUACCAAGGCAACGAUGCAUAGCCGACCUGAGAGGGUGAUCAGCCACACUGGAACUGAGACACGGUCCAGACUCCUACGGGAGGCAGCAGUGGGGAAUCUUCCGCAAUGGGCGAAAGCCUGACGGAGCAACGCCGCGUGAGUGAUGAAGGUCUUCGGAUCGUAAAACUCUGUUAUUAGGGAAGAACAUAUGUGGAAGUAACUGUGCACAUCUUGACGGUACCUAAUCAGAAAGCCACGACUAACUACGUG